GGGGGGGGGGGGGGGGGGGCGGGGGAGAGGGAGGGGGAGGGAGGGGGGGGGGGGCGGGGGGGUGGGGUGGGAGGGGCGGGGGGGUGAGUAACACGUGGAGAAGGGACCGAUGAGAGGGGGAUAACUUCGGGAAAGCGGAGAUAAGAGCGGAGAAUAUGAUGAGGCGCAGGGGGCAAAAGUGAAAGACGGUCUGGGUGUCACGUAUAGAUGGAUGCGCGCUGCAUGAGCUAGGUGGGAAGGUAACGGCUUAGCAAGGCAACGAGGCAGAGCCGACCUGAGAGGGUUAUCGGCCACCCUGGCACUGAGACACGGUCCAGCCUCCUCCGGGAGGCAGCAGUAGGGAAUCUUCCGCAAUGGGCGAAAGCCUGACGGAGCAACGCCGCGUGAGUGAUGAAGGUCUUCGGAUCGUAAAACUCUGUUAUUAGGGAAGAACAUAUGUGUAAGUAACUGUGCACAUCUUGACGGUCCCUAAUCAGAAAGCCACGGCUAACUACGUG
rnacentral:rRNA from 1 species